CAGGAAGGGAGAUGGAGGUGUGAAAAGGAGAGAGGGGAGCAAGAGUGGAACAGAGGAAAGGAGAGAGCCAGGAAGGGAGAUGGAGGUGUGAAAAGGAGAGAGGGGAGCAAGAGUGGAACAGAGGAAAGGAGAGAGCCAAGAAGGGAGAUGGAGGUGUGAAAAGGAGAGAGGGGAGCAAGAGUGGAACAGAGGAAAGGAGAGAGCCAGGAAGGGAGCUGGAAGGAGAAAAGGAGAGGGGAGUAAGGCCAAGUGCGCACCACAGGCAAUCCUAAUGGGAUUUAAAGUGGUUUAAUAUUUACAGACUGAAGCCGUGGCUAUAUAAUACGCCACAUGGUUAGUCGAAUAUCCUUUAAUUAAUCUAAGGGCUAAAAAUGUUUGUGCAUAUUUAGUCUAUACUAGUCUACAGCAUUAUGUGUGUUUUUCUGAGCCAAUUCCACCAGGACCUCGAUGACCCAAUGGGUCUGGAGGGAGAGGAGGCCAGGUGGAGAAGACCAAGACCAGGGAGCAGUUCUGGGUUUGGUUCAGAGAGGAGGUAAAACAUUUGUUUUCAAAUGCUGUGAUGAAACCAAUGUUACAUCACGUGUGUUGGAUAAAUUAAAACUAACAGCUAUUAAGCACUUAUUUUCUAUUUUGUGCUGUAAUUUAGUCAUGGAUCCAUAUCUUGUUGGCCUCCAGGACAGCCUAAACCGGAGGUUCCAACACCUGGAGAUUCUGGGGGCCUUCAGUAUGUUGGGACCUCAGGCUGCGUUCUCUAGUGAGAGGAUAAACACCUUUUAACCUGACCCUCCUCUCCAGGCAGUUCUUGCAAGCGUCAGAGGCUGCUGUGCUACAAGAGUGGCCCUCUUACAAGCAACGUGCUAGUUGGAAAAUUGAAGGUAUGGCAUGUUGCCCAACCCUUUUUCCUGUUGAACUACCACUAUUAGCUCUUCUUUAAUCUUGUACAUCUUUCAGUUUUUCAUGUAUUUCAGGGAUUGGACCAGCUGACAGCAAUGACAUAGCUGGCCUCGCAGUUUGGUCAAAACAGACUUGAGGAACAGACUGCAGGGAGAGCAUCUAUCCACCUGCAUGCGGCUCUCCAUCAGCGGCUCUCCAUCAACGGCCUCUCCAUCAGCGGCUCUCCAUCAACGGCUCUCCAUCAACGGCCCUCCAUCAGCGGCUCUCCAUCAACGGCCCUCCCAUCAAGGAGCUCAAUUACAGGAGGGCGUUGGAAGAAUAAAGUGCUCUGACAAGGGCUGCAAACUAUGUUAGAACUAGGUUUUUGUCAGAACCUGGAAAGAGAUUUCCAACAUCCUUCUUUUGUGAUGGACAUGAAUUAGUGGACUCUAAUUCAUGUUCAGUCUCAUGUUCCUCUGUUCUGUCCAGAUAAACUUUUUUUUAUUUCAAA